rnacentral:rRNA from 1 species
CCUACGGGUGGCAGCAGUGAGGAAUAUUGGUCCAUGGGCGCGAGCCUGAACCAGCCAAGUAGCGUGAAGGAUGACUGCCCUACGGGUUGUAAACUUCUUUUAUAAAGGAAUAAAGUGAGGCACGUGUGCCUUUUUGUAUGUACUUUAUGAAUAAGGAUCGGCUAACUCCGUGCCAGCAGCCGCGGUAAUACGGAGGUUCCGAGCGUUAUACGGAUUUAUUGGGUUUAAAGGGAGGGGAGAUGGGUUUUUAAGUCAGUUGUGAAAGUUUGCGGCUCAACCGGAAAAUUGCAAUUGAUACUGGCAGCCUUGAGGACAGUUGAGGUAGGCGGAAUUCGUGGUGUAGCGGUGAAAUGCUUAGAUAUAACGAAGAACUCCGAUUGCGAAGGCAGCUUACUAAACUGCCACUGACAUUGAUGCUCGAAAGUGUGGGUAUCAAACAGGAUUAGAUACCCUUGUAGUC